UUCUUUUGUUAUUUUCCCUUUUGUUUUGUUGUGGUUUCUGUUUCCCCUUCCUGGAUCUCCUGCCGUUCCUUGUGGCAUCCACCAGAUGCCGCCAAGAGGCUGCCCCUGGAGUUUGGCCCCGUCAACCCCGGAGACGCAUCUGCGGUUAAUCUGGGAGGCGCGGUCGAGGAGUAUAGGCCUAUAGGAACAGCGGCACGACUCUUCCUCGCCUGAGUGUUUGUUUACCACGGUGAACUUGUCGUCUCCUUGUGGCUCCUGAACCUGACAUCUCCUCGUGGCUCCUGUGAGAACAGCCUGCCCAGAGAGCAGAGCAAGCGUUUCUCUGCGGUAGCCUCGGACUCCCAGCGACACGCGUCCGGACCUCCAGCUCGAACCCAAUUCCAUCUGGGAUCCCUUCGCCCCGGCUUCAGCCAGGACUCCGUCCCGGACACCAAUCACCCUGUCCGCCCUCCGACCGGUCCUCCAUCUCGGCUCAUACCGACCACCAUCUCCACCCACCAAUGAGACGAACCGGCCACCAGUUCCAGUCCUCAUUCCCCAUCCCUUUUCCUGAUUGCAAUAAACACUUAUUAUAUUUCA